GACGAACGCUGGCGGCGUGCUUAACACAUGCAAGUCGAACGGAAAGGCCCUGUGUUUGUGGGGUGCUCGAGUGGCGAACGGGUGAGAAACACGCGAGUAACCUGCCCUUGACAGUGGGAUAACUUAAGGAAACUGGGGCGAAUACCGGAUAGGAGUCUCCGCUGCAUGGUGGGGGUUGGAAAGUUUCGGCGGUUGGGGAUGGUCUCGCGGCUUAUCGGCUUGUUGGUGGGGUAUGGGCUUACCAAGGCUUUGACGGGUAGCCGGCCUGAGAGGGUGACCGGCCACAUUGGGACUGAGAUACGGCCCAGACUCCUACGGGAGGCAGCAGUGGGGAAUAUUGCACAAUGGGCGGAAGCCUGAUGCAGCAACGCCGCGUGCGGGAUGACGGCCUUCGGGUUGUAAACCGCUUUCGCCUGUGACGAAGCGUGAGUGACGGUAAUGGGUAAAGAAGCACCGGCUAACUACGUG
rnacentral:rRNA from 1 species